GGUAGAGUGGCAUAGUGGGUUGAGUGUUGGUCUAUGACUCUGGAGACCAGGGUUCAAAUCAUGGCUCGGCCA